GGUCCCAUGGUCUAGUGGUUAGGACAUUGGACUCUGAAUCCAGUAACCCGAAUUCAAAUCUCGGUGGGACCU
rfam:Nelumbo nucifera unplaced genomic scaffold scaffold00019, whole genome shotgun sequence